AUUGAACGCUGGCGGCAGGCCUAACACAUGCAAGUCGAACGAGUGGCGGACGGGUGAGUAAUGUCUGGGAAACUGCCUGAUGGAGGGGGAUAACUACUGGAAACCGUAGCUAAUACCGCGUACCAUAGGAUGAGCCAAAUUGGGAUAAGGUAGUUGGGGAGGGAAAGGCUCACCAAGCCGACGAUCUCUAGCUGGUCUGAGAGGAUGACCAGCAAAACUGGACCUGGGACAGGGCCCAGACCCCUACGGAAGGAAGCGGUGGGGAAUAUUGCGCAAGGGGGACAACCCUGACGAAGAAAGCCCGCGUGAAUGAAGAAGGCUUUCGGUUUGUAAAGUUCUUUCGGUAGCGCGGCGUUAACGACAGAAGAAGCACCGGCUAACUCCGUGCCAGCAGCCGCGGUAAUUC
rnacentral:rRNA from 1 species